CGAAAAAAAGAAAUAAAUGCUGGAGUUUCUGCAAGAGGAUAGAAUAACGGGCUCAGAGGGAAAAAUAUAAAAAACUGUACCAGUCUCUGAUUUUUACCUUGCAGAGUCCUAUUAUCACUAUAUUUGCAUUAAGCUUCUGUCUCCCUAUUUCCUAGCUUAGAGAGGAAAAAACAGAGAUAAAUGGGUAUGGAGCAAUUAAGGAAAUUAGCAAACACUGCAGACGCUCAACAAACUCGAGCUGUCUUCUCCCCAUUCCCCACAUUCCUGGUCGAGAGAAAAGGAUAUGGGCCUGAAAAGAAUAUGAGAGUUGAAGCUCGUUUCUCUAACCUAUCUGAAAAGUCUUUAUGCAAUCAGGGGGCUAUUAUUUCAGGAGACAGUGAGAAAGGGGCAAAGGAUUCACGUUGCUAAGGAGACGUGCUGAAGCUGGCAUUCCUACAUAAAUUUCCAUUUCUACUGGAGUAGAAAAAAAAAAGAUAUUCUCUCCAAAGUUUAUUUGGAUCUCCUGGUUACUGAAGAAAGGCAUUUUACCGAUUUAUUUUAUCUUUAGUUGUAAACAACCAACCCUGAAAGAAUUAAAAGACCUAAAUGUUGACCUCCCGCUGCCAACCAGUCCCCUCCACAGUGAAUUAAGCAACAAAGACAAAAUCCUUCAAUGGAAAUUUUGAGGUAAUAUCAAAGAAAAAAGCCUUUUGUAAACACCAUCAAAUUUAUGGAAGAAACUAAAGCAAGUGAACUAAUUUCCCUUAUAACAAGAAAAGAAAGACAAAAGUAAAUCUGAUUUUUUGUGGCUUUUUUCCCUAUUUUAACUUGCCUAGAACUUGACACGUUUUCAGUAAAGCUUUAUAAAGAGUCCCAGAGAAGACAUGAAACUGUCACGAAGGAAUUUAAUGAGUUUCUCAGGGGUGCACGUGUAGCUGUGUAAAAUCACAGCCAGGUCCUCUUUCAUUCCCCUUUCUCUGCACUGACACCAGCAGCUGAAGAAUCAAGAUUAGCAAGGAAUAGCGGUUUGCAGGAGGAAAUCCGAAGUUUGGCAGAUUUCUGCUAAGGGCGUAACUGGAGUGCAGAGGAAGGCAACCGGGGCUCAAGGCAGUAAAGUAGCAACCUCCCCCGGGGACUACCUUCUCCUUUCUCCACCCCAUCCCUUUGCAGCUUCCACAAGUGAAUAAUGCCUGAAUAAUCCACAACUUUCCAGGCAUCUUGUGAGUCCCUCAUGCAGAAGAGAAAGAUCUGGAGGACAGAGAAGGCAUUUGGAGUGGGAAAGACGGAAGAGCAACUCUUAACCAAGGACCGUGUCACCAAAAAAGGAAAGGAAAUUAAAGCCUGUCCGUCUCCCAACUUUCCACAUCCCUCAAAGAUUUAAGGAACUAAAAUCCAAACCGAAACUCAUCGGGGACAAGCCAGAUAAAGUGGAGGACAACAGACAGAAACGCGGGCACCAAGAGGAGACGCCCCCACCCCCCCGAGGAAUAGACUCACCUUGAAAUUGAAUUUGCAAUUCUGUGAUUGGUUCAGCUUGUAAUGACUUCUUGGUGGUCCAGUGGUUAGGAAUCCACCUGCCAAUGUGGGAGACACAGAUUUGGUUGGGGAAGAUCCCACUUGCCAUGGAGCAACUGAGCCCAUGCUCUAGACCCCACAAUGCAACUACUGAGCUCAUGCACUGCAACUACUGAAGGCUGCCCACCCUAGUGCCCAUGCUCUGCCACAAGGAAAGCCAACACAAUGAGAAACCUGCACGCCACAGUGAAGAGUAACCUCAGCUCACUCUAAUUUCGCUUAAGAGGUUGGAUGCCUGGUUAAUUAUUUUUAAAUGAUUCAUCUUUUUGAAUAAACAUACUGAAGGCUAUAAAGUUCCUCUAAGUACCACUUCAGCUAUAUUCUACAAAUUAGGCACCUUUGCAUCCGAAGAUGGACAAGCUCUAUUCUAUACAGUCAGACAAAACAAGACCUGGAGCUGAUUAUGAGCUCCUUGUUGCAAAAUUCAGGGCUAAACUGAAGAAAGAAGGGAAAACUGCUAGGCGAUUCAGGCAUGACCUAAAUCAAAUCCCAUAUGAUUAUACAGUGAAGGUGACAAAUAGAUUCAAAGGAUUAGAUCUGAUAGACAGAGUGCCUGAAGAACUGCAGACAGAGGUUUGUAACAUAGAGGAGGCAGUAAAUCAUUCCAGAGAAAAAGAAAUGCAAGCAGGCAAAGUGGUUGUCUGAGGAGGCUUUACAAGUAGCUGAGGAAAGAAGAGAAGUGAAAGGCAAGGGAGAAAUGGAAAGAUGUACCUAACUGAAUGCAGAGUUUCAGAGAAUAGCAAGGGGAGAUAAAAAGGCCGUCUUAAAUGAACAGUGCAAAGAAAUAGAAGAAAACAAUAGAAUGAGAAGGACCAGAGAUCUCUUCAAGAAAAUUGGAGUUAUCAAGGGACCAUUUCAUGCAAGAAUGGGCAUGAUAAAGGACAGAAACAGUCAGGACCUAAUAGAAGUAGAAGAGAUUAAGAAUACACAGAAAAACUAUACAAAAAGGUCCUAAUGAACAGGAUAACCACAGUGAUGUGGUCACUCACCUAGAGCGAGACAUCCUGUAGUGUGAAGUCAAGUGGGCCUUAGGAAACAUUACUACAAACAAAGCUAGUGGAGGUGAUGAAAUUCCUGCUGAGCUAUUUCAAAUCCUAGAAGAUGACACUAUUAAAGUGCUGCGCUCAAUAUAUCAGCAAAUUUGGAAAACUCAACAGUGACCACAGGACUGAAAAAGGUAACUUUUCAUUCCAGUCCCACAGAAGGGCAGUGCCAAAAAAUGUUAAAACUACUUUCCGGUUGUACUCAUUUCAGUGUUAUCAAGGUUAUGCUCAAAAUCCUUCAAACGAGGCUUCAGCAGUACGUGAACUGAGAACUUCUGGAUGUACAAGCUGGGUUUAGAAAAGGCAGAGGAGCCAGAGAUCAAAUUGCCAUCAUUUGUUGAAUCAUAGAGAAAGCAAAGAAAUUCCAGAAAAACAUCUACUUCUUCAUUGACUUCGCGAAAGCCUUUGACUGUAUGGAUCACAGCAAACUGUGGAAAAUUCUGAAAGAGAUGGGAAUACCAGACCACCUUCCUGUCUCCUGAGAAGCCUGUAUGCAGGUCAAGAAGCAACAGUUAGAACCAGAAAUGGAACAACAGACUGAUUCAAAAUUGGGAAAGGAGUCCAACAAGGCUAUAUAUUGUCAUGCUGUUUAUUUAACUUUUAUGCAGAGUACAUCAUGUGAUAUGCCAGGCUGGAUGAAUUACAAGCUGGAAUC